rnacentral:rRNA from 1 species
UACAGAGGGUGCGAGCGUUGUCCGGAUUUAUUGGGCGUAAAGCGCUCGCAGGUGGUUCGUCGCGUCGUGCGUGAAAGACCCCGGCUCAACUGGGGAGGGUCGUGCGAUACGGGCGGACUGGAGGCCAGUAGGGGGAUGCGGAAUUCCGGGUGUAGUGGUGGAAUGCGUAGAGAUCCGGAGGAACACCAGCGGCGAAGGCGGCAUCCUGGACUGGUCCUGACACUCAGGAGCGAAAGCGUGGGGAGCGAUCCGG